AUGCAGAUGAGCAAGUUGCCCGUGAAUUCUUUCGACGGUGUUCCAUUUUCCAAUUCAGUAAUGGGAAGGGAGCUUUGCAUGGCAAAUAUCUGCAUUGGUGGCGUGACCUUGGUGUUGGGUACAAGCCACCUAGAGAGCCCGAGCCGGCCUCCUCGGUUGCGCAUCAACGAGCGAAUCGCUCAGGCAAAGGAGUCCCUCAUGUUGUUGGGAGGAAGAGGAUCACGCAACGCGAUAUUCUGCGGGGACAUGAACUGGGACGACAAGAUAGACGGGGCCUUCCCUCUCUCGGAGGGCUGGGUUGAUGCCUGGGCUGAGCUGAAGCCGGGUGAAGAUGGCUGGACAUACGACACGGAGGCCAACGCCAUGCUGUCUAAAACGUCCAAGAAACUACAGCUGAGGCUGGAUCGGUUCUUGUGCAAGAUGCCGGAUUUCAAGGUCCAAGGCAUCGAGAUGGUUGGGAGGGAGCCUAUACCCGGCGGCUCAUGCGUGAAGGUGGAUGUAAUCCGCUGGAAGUCUAAGAAGAAAGCCUACUGGAUGCGUCGCGAGCGGACGAAGCCUGUGCUGCCCAGCAACCACUUCGGGCUCGUCUUGACGAUCACCCCUCAGCCUGGAAGAUGUGCUCCGUCAGAGUAA
rnacentral:rRNA from 1 species